rnacentral:rRNA from 1 species
AGAGUUUGAUCCUGGCUCAGAACGAACGCUGGCGGCGUGGAUAAGACAUGCAAGUCGAACGCUGGAUUGCGUGUAGCAAUACUCGCAGUCCGGAGUGGCGUAAGGGUGCGUAACACGUGGGUAAUUUGCCUGGAAGCCCGGGAUAACUCCGAGAAAUCGGAGCUAAUACCGGAUGUGAUCAACGACUGGCAUCAGUUGUUGCUCAAAGUCGGGGACCGCAAGGCCUGACACUUCCAGAUAAGCCCGCGGCCUAUCAGCUAGUUGGCGGGGUAACGGCCCACCAAGGCUAAGACGGGUAGCUGGUCUGAGAGGACGACCAGCCACACUGGAACUGAGACACGGUCCAGACACCUACGGGUGGCAGCAGUCGAGAAUUUUUCACAAUGGGGGAAACCCUGAUGGAGCGACGCCGCGUGGGGGAUGAAUGGCUUCGGCCCGUAAACCCCUGUCAUUUGCGAACAAACCUGGUGGUUGAACAGACUGCCAGCUGAUAGUAGCAGAAGAGGAAGGGACGGCUAACUCUGUGCCAGCAGCCGCGGUAAUACAGAGGUCCCAAGCGUUGUUCGGAUUCACUGGGCGUAAAGGGUGCGUAGGCGGUGGGGUAAGUUUGAGGUGAAAUCUCCGGG